rnacentral:lncRNA from 1 species
AGGGAUUCAACAUGGAUAUGGGAAGCAGGGGUAGAGUGUUGGACAGAGCCAGAGUGGAGGCGCAUGGUGCCAGAAAGCCAAUAUCGUCACUGUGUCCAAGAGUCGUAAUACGUGUCCAGCAUGAAAGAUCAGAAUUGGAAGUAAAAAUCAAGAGUGGAGCUGUGGAGUACCCAGUGGGGGUUGUGAAGGAAGACGACAAUAAAGAUUUGUGUGUGGA